ensembl:lncRNA
CAGUUAGUCAAAUGCUUGAUGUCGCCCUGCAGAUGCUAUUAACCCAUCUUCAUAUCAUACUAUGUUUCUCUGUUGCUAUUUCUGGGUUUCUUCCUAACAUGUGCGAUAUGGAGGGAAGUGUUCGUCUAGCCUUCCCGUCUACACCCGCUACACCCAAGAUUCUACUAGACCAUCACUUCCUGUUCCUCUGAGACUCCUAAGGGUCAGCAGGCUCACCCACGACGUGACAACCUCUUGUCCCGACCCUUCUCUUCUCCUCGCGGUUCCCACCAUGUCCUCUCUAGACGUCCGACCCCCACUGAUGUCCGUACCAUAUUGUGCCCUGCCUGCGUUCUCAGGCCACUCGAACCACAACCAGCACUGACAUGGAACGCAAGAUGUGAUGUCCAUCUAGCGGGAGGGAGAGUGUGUGUGUGUGUGUGUUGGGG